rnacentral:lncRNA from 1 species
UAAAGCGUGAGUUAAAAAUACCACCAAGAACUGAAAAAAUAUGGUUCUCAUUUGUCCAAUACAGUAAACAUAAUGCAAAUAGUAAUGCAAAUCAGUUAAUAACUCAACUGAUUUGCAUUACUGACAAUGAGUGUCUCAUAUUACACCACAAAUCUUUUCGCGCGGAUUAUAUUUCGUGCAGUACUAAAAUUUGCGCACCCAUCCCUGCGCGAAUUCUAGUACUGCGUGAAUUUUAAUACAAGUAAGGUAAUACAUAAGUUAGUAUAUUCACGACUCACGAUAUUAAUUAAUCUUUUUUACAGAUAAAAACAUCAUGAAAAAGACAGGAAAAAUACUUUUAGCAGCUGAACUUGGCAGGGAAUAUGGUUUCAAAGAUGUGGGAGGUA